UACGAAGGGUGCUAGCGUUGUUCGGAAUCACUGGGCGUAAAGCGCGCGUAGGCGGCUUGUCAAGUCAGGGGUGAAAUCCUGAGGCUUAACCUCAGAAUUGCCUUUGAAACUAGCAGGCUGGAGUGUCGGAGGGGAUAGCGGAAUUCCUAAUGUAGAGGUGAAAUUCGUAGAUAUUAGGAGGAACACCGGUGGCGAAGGCGGCUUUCCGGACUAGCACUGACGCUGAGGCGCGAAAGCUAGGGGAGCGAACGGG
rnacentral:rRNA from 1 species